rnacentral:lncRNA from 1 species
CAUUUCUUGAUACUUUCUUAUUUUCUAUCUUGUCUCUUCUACUGUCACGCCCCGGAUUACACGUUCCCCGGGCACGCCGACAAAUCCGCCGUAUACAAAAAAUUUUUUCCUGUAUACGAAGCGACAGCUGUACCUGUAAAUCAAAUACUACUACGAACAGUAGUAGAGAGCUGCUAGAGAAAACAGAAGCUAAACAAACAGAGUUUCAUAUACAUAGUUCAAAUCCAAAAUACAGAGCUACUCGCACUAGCAAGUUAAGUCAACUAUGUACAUAAACUCGAAACAAAACAUCUACCUGCAGUAGGGGCACCUCUAGCUCAGCACAUCGGGUAGGGCUCUAACUCCGAUGCCCUUGCCUCGAUCCUGGUCCGCGGACGGUGCAGCAGCCGGAACCUGUGGCUCUGCAAAAACAUAGGUAACAACUGGGCGUGAGAACUACUGUAAAAACAAGUAGUCCUCAGUGGGUAUCGCCCAAAACAACAUCGGUCCACCCACUAAGUCUACAGAAGGGAGCAAGAGUAGUCAGAAAAGCAGGAAAUAAACUCUACCGCUAUCGAUCACUACACUAUCAUGCUCUACACUAACCAACUGUAGGAAAUGUCAAAUCUGACCCAAUCCAAUCGGGACUGUAAGCAUACCCGUCCCCGGGACUGUGAAUACACCCGUCCCUGCCCCGUUGCGACUAUCAGGCUCUAUCCACACUAACUGGUCCGUGGAGAGCAAGUCCAACUGGCAUGAGCGACACCAACGCGAAAGCACAAAGCCUGACUCCGGAGUGGCACUCGUGGGCGCUACCCAACCGAGUAUGCAGCGUAUCUCUGUCGAGCUCAAACAGGCUCUGAAAAGCCAAAGUCAAGAAAUCGACUCUAACUGGUCUAACAACCAACAAGUAACGUGCCCUCGGCACAAUCAGACGCCAAAAAGGCGAUACGGGUCCACCGUCAACCUCAACGGCACCCUACAGUCCGGAACAGCCUGAACGACCCUGUAAAAUCCCCUCGGCGAACCAGCACGAGUGUAGAUAUAUUCUAAACUACCUGGAGUACUCGUCUCGAAGAUACUGCGACAGUACAAUUUAAUAACGGCUCCUAGAGCUAAAUCAGGCAGUUUAAUCAAGUGACAGGUCCAAAUCGCAGGUUUUCUCCUAAUUCAGUUUCCAAGUCCAACAUAUAUAAUCUACUUAAUUUAUUACCACAUGCUCCAAAUUCAGAUUUGCAUUCUAUCAUAUAAUCCAUGAAUUCGAGCUAGAAUAAAUUAUCAAAAUCGAGAUCUAUACAUGUUGACGAUUAUGAGCUUAGGAGUCAAAACCGAUGUAACCCACCUCGCACGCUAAUCCCUGGCAGCACGGAACCCCCUCGGCUGCGACACCACCUGCUGGAUCGACCAAAAACGCCCGAGUCUCGAAAUCGAGCGAACUCCAAACUAAAAACACCAAAAUUCCUCAAUUCAGUCCAAAAUCCACAGCAGCAGAGAAGAGAGGGAUUUCGACCUAGCUAACCUUCACCAAAAUUCGCAAGUAAGGGCUUCGUGGAUUCCUCUCGAAGUCCCGAAUCCAACGAACCAAGUCUCGUCGCAAUCCGAUGCUCCUACGUCGCGUACGAGCUGAAAUACUAACAGUCGACGGUGGAUUUCAGCAAACAACAAUUUUCUGAGUUGAAGUAGUAAACACUUGCCCAAAAAUCAAGAAAAAACUGAAAAACCCACCUCGACAACGCCAAGCACCUGUGUGACAGCAAAGACGGCGAAAAUCUACGCUCGCCCGGCCUCCUCGCGCUACCCCGGCGUCUAACACGUGCUCGAACGGCUCCGCGGCGCGACGUCGGCGACGAACUCUCCA